GACGAACGCUGGCGGCGUGCUUAACACAUGCCAGUCGAACGGGUCUGCCCUGUUUUUUGCGGGGUGGGUCAGUGGCGAACGGGUGAGUAACACGUGAGUAACCUGCCCCUCACUUCUGGAUAACCGCUUGAAAGGGUGGCUAAUACGGGGUGUUCUGGCUGUGCCGCAUGGUGUGGCUGGGAAAGAUUCACUUUUGUGGUGUUUUGGUGGGGGAUGGGCUCGCGGCCUAUCAGCUUGUUGGUGGGGUGAUGGCCUGCCAAGGCUUUGACGGGUAGCCGGCCUGAGAGGGUGGGCGGUCACACUGGGACUGAGAUACGGCCCAGACUCCUGCGGGAGGCAGCAGUGGGGGGUAUUGCACAAUGGGCGGAAGCCUGAUGCAGCGACGUCGCGUGAGGGAUGGAGGCCUUCGGGUUGUGAACCUCUUUCGCCGGUGAAGAAGGUCCUGCUCUUUGUGGUGGGGUUGACGGUAGCCGGGUUAUGAAGCGCCGGCUAACUACGU
rnacentral:rRNA from 1 species